rnacentral:sRNA from 1 species
AAGAAGUAUGUAUAAC